UAGAUCUAAAACUAAUCAGUGAGCAUUGAGGAUUGUUAAUAUGAUUUCUGAACAAAAAAUUAAAAAAAAAAUGAAGAACUACAGCAGUGUGCAGAUUUAAAGCUAAUCAUUCAGUAUUUCAAUAUGAUUUCUGAAAAAAAUGAAAAAAAAAACGAAGAAGCUUCGACGAGCACGACGGACAAGAAGCCAUUACCUUCGAGGGACGAGCACGACGGACGCCAGCAACGAGCACGACGAGAGACGGCAGGCAAAGCGCGACUGAGCAGCGAGAAGAACGGACGAGGAACAGGGGAACGAGGAGAGGGGCUGGAGCACGACGAACAGACGAAGCUUUUGGGCGCGAC